rnacentral:rRNA from 1 species
UACGGGGGGGGCAAGCGUUGUUCGGAAUUACUGGGCGUAAAGGGCUCGUAGGCGGCCAACUAAGUCAGACGUGAAAUCCCUCGGCUUAACCGGGGAACUGCGUCUGAUACUGGAUGGCUUGAGUUUGGGAGAGGGAUGCGGAAUUCCAGGUGUAGCGGUGAAAUGCGUAGAUAUCUGGAGGAACACCGGUGGCGAAGGCGGCUUUCUGGACAAAUACCGACGCUGAGGCACGAAAGCUAGGGGAGCAAACAGG